ensembl:processed_transcript Gm14169 predicted gene 14169
AUCUGCGACCGAUCGUCCAGAGAAGGCAGACUACCGGAGCGAGGUUACACAGCGCUGGCCGCGGUGGCGCGCGAACUUGGAAACCUGGGGUUGAUGAGUGGGUCUGCAGGAAGGUGUUUUGGCUGCGUUCACUGUGGGGGUUCCUGCCUCUAGGAUCGGGUGCCCCCUCCCGGUGACCCGCUUCCUGGAGAACCGAUGUUUUGGGCAGCAGUACCUGGCUGGCUAACGCAUCUCUGGAAUUCGUGGCCGGGCACCUGUCCUCCCUCUCGCGGGGGCUCUGUGAUCACGAACUACGGUGCCUCUCCCUGAGCCCGUUUUUCUACCCGCACAAUCGGGACCACAUAGCAUCUACCUCCUUAAGAAACCGAAGAGAUAAUGAGUAGAGGGUUUGUGCUGCUCGGACUCCCACCAACUACAGUUACUGGCCCAGAGGAGAUCCACCAUGACCCAUACUGCAGGAAUUGGCUUCCCGGCUAAGAUAGGCAGGAGAAAGCCUCCUGCUUCCUCCCCUUUCUGCUUUCAUGUCACAUGCAUAUAAUGUGCAUGUAUUUAAAUGUAGAUUCUGCAUAUUUGAGAAAACACACACUGUUUUUCUCCCUGAGGCUGCUCUAUUUUCUUACCAUGAUAAUCCCCAGGUUCAUCCAUUUCCCUGCAAAGAACAUGAUUUCACUGUCUUUGUGACUGAAUGAGACUCUACUGUGUAUAUGCCACCGUCAUAUAUAUAUACAUACACAUACACAUACAUACAUACACACAUAAUUUAGACUGUUUGAAAAUGUAAACAUUUCCUUUAAAUAAUAAAAAGUGAAUUAGAACAUAUUUACUACUGUGGGAUUGAGCCAUGCAGGACUCCAAGGUCCUUGGUUUAGGCAGGGCUCCCAGGAGGGAAAUGAAGGGACAAUGACACCGAAUUUUCCUUUCUGUGAGGUUAAAAAGCAGAAGUCUAGGCAGGCUUCCUGGAGGAGGUAACAAGGAGUGACACAGGGAUGCCUCCAGCUGAGAAAACAGAAAACACAAAGGCAGUGUUGGGCUACGUGAGAGAAAGCAUCAGAACAUUGGCAAAGGGCAAACAUGUGGCAGACAUGAUGCCUGGCCUUCUUAGCUAUUGGGGUCAUGAACCAAGGCCAUGACCAGAUGUCACUGUAUGCCCACAGACCGGCAAAAAUGACAGGACAAUUGCAAAAGUUAGCGAAGAUGAAGCUCAGAGGCAGCCCUGACAUCCUAUUGGAAGACAGGGGAGCUGGACCACCCACGGGAUCCGCCAAUCUCACUGCUGUCCCGCACACAGCAUCCCUUCAGUUCCCAAGCAUGACCCCUCAGCAGGACUCUGGAGUCUGAAUGCCGACCAAGUUCCUAAGGAGGCUACCCUGUAGGUCCGCACACUACACUGUGCGGAGGUGGGAGAUGCUCAGGAAGGUGCACAGAGACCUUUUGCAAUGCAGAAGAUCUGAAGGCAGUCCAAUUAGCAACCGCAGGGAGGGUAGAUCAAUGAAGGAAUGAACAGUGGUAUACACGCCGUGGCCAUAGAGCAAUGGGAUCAGGAUCACACUCCACAUAAACAGAUUCCAAUCAACAGUCUCACUGGACAAAAAGCCUGCGCAAGGUAGUAGCUGUGCGCAUACAGUAAGAAGCAAGCAACAGCAAAGGCAUAUCAUCUUAAUACUCACACACAUAAUGAGACUGAGAAUGAGGUGGACCAGGGAGAAGCUCAUUUAAUAUGGUGUGUUCAUACUAAACCCAUGCCCGCACCAAUGCUGAAGGGCACUGUGGAGGCAGGGUUGUUAGCUCUGAGUAUCUGAGAUACUAAAAAAAAAAGGGAGAGGGCUGAGGAAGCCCAGUUGGUAAAGUGCCUGUUGUCCAAGCAUCAGGGCGUCAGCUCAGGUCUCCAGCAUCCGUGUAAAAAGUGGGAGAGGGGAGCAAGGAUGGAGGAUCCUGGAAGCUCAUUGGCUGGCCAGCCUAGCCAAGGUGAUGAGCUUUAGGUCCAGAGAGAGAGAGAGACCUUGUCUCAAAAAAGGAACGUGGAGAAUGACUAAGGAAAGACCUCUGGCCAGACACACAUACAUAGGCGCAUGCAUUAGCACCCACAUGUGCAUGUGCAACCCACACAUAAACCACACAUCUCCUGUCUCUCUCUCUUUCCCUCCCUCCUGCCCUCCUCCCCCCUCAAUACAACAACAACAGGACACCGGGGAGAACGCUCAGAUUGAACUUAAAGACUAAAGUUCUGAUGCCCAGAACUCAUGCAAACAAGAUGAGGUGCUGUGAGUCUGUAAUCCUGGCACUCCACAGCCAGAUGGGAGGUAGAGACAGGAGGCUCAUGCACCAGCUAGCCUGGCCAUUGCAGAAGGUGACAAGAGAGCCUGUCUCAAACAAGCAGACGCUGAGGGCAAAUACGUCGAAUUUAUAAUUAAAACACUUAAAAUGGAAAUUCAUUUAUAUAAUAAAUGACUAAGUUU